AUGAAGCAGGGUUAAGAGGAUUCUGUUUUCAGCAAGUAGUGAAUUCCCCAGAAGCUUUUCCCACUUAGUCCGGAUGCAUCCAUACGAUGUGAAGUUGGGCUUAAUUGCUUCGUGUUGGUGGCAGAGCUCUGAAGAUGAGGACUGGCUUUCCUACUGGAGAGCUGGCCCGUGGACCAGGCAUCUAUUGCUGAGGCCAGAUGAAAAUGGGCCAGGGCCUCUGGCCACACGCUGCCACAGCCAAGAGAGAUGGAGCAAAGCCAUGCAGUGUCAACUUAGGUUUGAGAAAGGGGUCAGGUCAAAGUGCUGGAAGGACUCCCCAUCACUGAGUUCCUUGCCAUCAACACAACUGCAGAGCAGAGCAGAAGUGACCACACAUCCAGAGGCCACUGUGGAGGAAACACAGCAUCAGGCCCUUUCAACACUUAGUUAAUCCUCAUGUUGGCCCCAUGGAAUUAUUUUAUUUUCCUACUUUAUACACAGGAAGUCGAAGCUUGGAGAGAUUCUGUGAAUUGGUGAAGGACACAGAGCAAAGCCAGGAUUCAGAUUCAGACCUGCUUGACUCCAAGAUCAUUCCAGAAAUCUCCCUUUUCCUUUGGACCCUGUGACGUGACAGCUGGGUUCUUUCUGCUCUGAUUUCCAUGCCUGACAACCAUUUAAAUGGAAUACAAGAAUGCAGGUGCUGAUUCUUCUGAGCAAUUUUCAGAGGCCUCCUUUGCCUGCUUUCACCCAAGGGAAAUUUCUGGCCCUCAGACCACGCGUACUUGGCUCUCUGACAGUGUACCUGCACCCACCACCCUCAUGUUUUCUUAGGUUGAAAGAAAUUCACCCUUUAUCAAGAAUUAUUUAUAGUUCCUCUGGAGUGAGAGAGGAAGACAUUACCCACGCAGUGCUCUGUGGAAUCAUCUGAGCCACCACUUCUGCCUUGGGGACAUCAUCUGGGGAAGUAUCUAGAUCCUUUGGCUGAACAACGUGUUUUGAGGUCUUUAAUAUGUCACCUUAAGGAUGAGGCCUAGAGAACAUGGCCUUUUGUUGAACAGUUUGUAAGCUCUCAAAUGUGAGUAAAUGUGAGGAGGGUCUUGAGAGAUAUAGGAAGCUCAAGAAACCUAGCUAGAGUCUCUAGACUGUUGAGAAAAGUGGUGAGAAGAAAUUCCCAUUGUGGGGGAUGGGAGUGGUGGUUCAGGAGGAUUUUUGAGAAUGGGGAUAGAGAGCCUAGAAAUAAGGCCACACACCCAUGGCCAUCUGAUCUUCGACAAAGCAAGCAAUGAGUAAUGGACUCCUUGUUCAAUAAAUGGUGCCGGGUUGACUGAUUAGCCAUAUGCAGAAGAUUGAAACUGGACUCCUUCCUCACACCAUAUACAGAAAUCAACUCAAGAUGGAUUAAAGACUUAAAUGUAAAACCCAGAACUAUAAAAACUCUGGAAGACAACCUAGGCAAUACCACCCUGGAUAUAGGAACGGGCAAAGAUUUCAUGAUGAAGACACUAAAAGCAAUUGCAGCAAAAGCAAAAAUUGACAAAUGUGAUCUGAUUAAACCUAAGAGCUUCUGCACAGCAAAAGAAAUUAUCAACAGAGUAAACAGAGUAAACAACCUAUAGAAUAGGAGAAAAUAUUUGCAGACUAAGUAUCCAACAAAGGUCUCAUAUCCAGCAUCUAUAAGGAACUUAAACAAAUUUAUAAGAAAUAACUAACAAUUCCAACAAAAAGUGGGCAAAGUAUAUGAACAGACACUUUGCUAAAGUAGACAUAUAUGUGGCCAACAAGCAAAUGAAAAAAAGCUCAAUAUCAUGAUCAUUAGAGAAAUGCAAAUCAAAGCCACAAUAAGAUAUAUCAUCUCACACCAGUCAGAAUGGCUAUUAUUAAAAAGUCAAAAAAUAACCGAUGGCUGGUAAAGUUGCAGAGAAAAGGAAAUACUUAUACACUGUUAGUUGGAGUUUAAAUUAGUUCAACCAUUAUGGAAAGCAGUGUGGUGAUUCCUCAAAGAGCUAAAAACAGGACUACCAUUUGACCCAGCAAACCUAUUACUGGGUAUAUGCCCAGAGGAAUAGAAAUCAUUCUACCAUAAAAACAUGUGCAACAAAUGUUCAUUGUAGCACUAUCCAAAAUAGCAAAGACAUGGAAUCAACCUAAAUGUCCAUCAAUGACAGAUUGGAUAAAAAAUGUAGUACAUAGGUCCCAUGGAAUACUAUGCAACCAUAAGAAAGAACAAGAUCAUGUCUUUUGCAGGAACAUGAUGGAGCUGGAGGCCAUUAUCCUUAGCAAACUAAUGCAGAAACAGAAAACUAAAUAGUGCAUGCUCUUACUCAUAAGAGGGAGCUAAAUGAGGAGACAUCAUGAAUACAAAGAGGGGAACAACAGACACUGGGACCUCUUUGAGGGUGGAGGGUAGGAGGAGGGAGAGGAGCAGAAAAACAUUAAUCUUGUUGUACAGAUUAUUUUGUCACCCAGGUACUAAAUGUGGUACUAUUGGGUACCCUACCACUGUUUUAUCAAACAAGUUUCUGUAAUAGUAUAAAUCCUUUGUUGUCAUUACAACAAUGUUCAUGGCAUCUUCACCAGGAGUAAAUCUCAUCUCAAGAAACCACUUUUUUUGCUUAUCCAUAAGAAGCAACUCCUCAUCUAUUCAAAUUUGAUCAUGAGAUUGCAGCAAUCUGGUCACAUCUUCAGGUUCACUCUAAUUCAAGUUCUCUUGCUGUUUCUACCACAUCCACAGUUACUUCCUUCACUGAAAUUUUGAACCUGUCAAAAUUUGGUACCUUACUGUUGUGUACCAGGUUUAGUACCUGGGUGACAAAAUAAUCUGUACAACAGACCCCCCGUGAUACCAGUUAACCUAGGUAACAAACCUGCACAUGUACUCCUGAACCUGAAAUAAAAAAAAAAAAAAUGGGAAUUUUUAGGUUACAAGUUCUUUUUCUGUGAAAUAAGUCCCCAGCCAUUGCAUCAAAUACUCAGUAAAUCCUUCUAGCAAUAUGGGAGUGAUUUGGGCAAAAUCAGAAGAAACCCACAAAAACUCUGUUGCACAUCAUUGUGCUGAACCUCUAUUAAUCUCAGUAGGGAAGACACCAGGCUCAAGAGGCCAAAGAAGACACUCAGAGCCAGUAAAUGAGACAUGGGGUCUUAUUAGGGGCUUCCACACAAGGGAGACAGUGCAGCGACAGCGGGCUGGACAAGAUAACCACAGGGCCCAGUAGCUGCGGGCUGGAGAGGAAAACCACAACUGCCUGCAAAUGU
rnacentral:lncRNA from 1 species